rnacentral:rRNA from 1 species
AACAGCAGCCAUGUCACCCUGUAACUCACAACUGGCAACCCAGUAAAGCUCAGCAGGUGUGAGCCUGGUCAGUACAUGGACGGGAGACCUCCUGGGAAAAACUAAGGUUGCUGCUGGAA